CCCGCCCCGCCCCGCCCGGGGGCGCCGGCCGGGCCCGCCCUCGGGAAGCUCGGGUGGCGGGCUCCGCUCGCUCCGACCGCCUGUUCGAGGGUUGAUCUGGAACGCUGCGCCCGGCCCGCUGUACUGCCUGCUGUCGCUUAGCUUUUCGUCCUCCAGACCAGGCAGUUCCCCCCUCCCCCUUCCCCGCCGGAGGCGUGGUCCUCUUGGCCCCACUCGGACACCCACACCAAAAUAAGGGCCACCUCUUUCGGGGAGGACCCUCACAGCUGGGCACUGGCUGAAAAUGCACUGGGACGAACGGCCCGGAAGAAGUGAGAUUGGGGGUCAGGAUCCGAGCGUGCGAGGCGGCGAUGGGAGUGCAGUUAGGAAUCCUGACUUCUGGGAGGUCACUGCGCUGGGAAAGAAUUCAACACGGACUUGAAUUUCAUCUAGCUCUAGCAAAGCUUGGAUACGCAAUGAGAACUGACUACAGUGGCAGUUUCUCAGUCCGCUCCUGUGUGAUCUCAGCGAGCAUCUGUGUUGAGGAGUCGCAAAGCUUCUGUUAACCAGCGUGUUACUCUAGGUCAGAGACUUUCCGUACAAGUGAGUAUGAGGAUGAGAAAAAUUGAAAUUGACUCUUGCAAUUCUCCCGUCUAUACAUGAUGAAAAUAAAGAAGAAAAGGAAGUACUGAAUAUGCUUUUUUUGUAAGCAGAACUGAAGCUCACUAGCACUAAAAACGUGCACUUUCCCUCUCUCUGUACCCUUUCCCCGCUCACGAGCUGUGCUCUCUCUCUCUCUCUCUCGAAUAAAUAACAUUAAAAAAAAUUAAAGGAGCAGCUGGGUGGCUCAGUCUGACUUUCAGCUCAGGUCGUGAUCUCACCGUUCGGAGAGUUCGAGCCCCACAUCAGGGUCUGUGCUGACUGCUCAGAGCCUGGAGCCUCCUUCAGAUUCUGUUUCUCUCUCUCUCUCCCCUGCCUGUGCUCUCUCUCUCACAAAUAAAUAAACAUUAAAAAAAGGGGGGAGGCAGAGCACCUCGGUGGCUCAGUCAGUUAAGCAUCUGACUUCUGCUCAGGUGAUGAUCUCGUGGUCCAUGAGUUUGAGCCCCACAUCGGGCUCUGUACUGACAGCUCAGAGCCUGGAACCUGCUUUGGAUUCUGCGUCUCCCUAUCUCUCUGCCCCUCUCCCCUGUUCAUGCUCUGUCUCUCUGUC
rnacentral:lncRNA from 1 species